rnacentral:rRNA from 1 species
AUUGAACGCUGGCGGCAGGCCUAACACAUGCAAGUCGAACGAGUGGCGGACGGGUUAGUAAUGUCUGGGAAAAUGCCUGAGGGAUGGGGAUCACUAAUGGAACCGGUAGCUAAUACCGCAUACCAUCAGAUGUGCCCAGAUGGGAUUAGCUGGUUGGGGGGGUAACGGCUCACAAAGGCGACGAUCCCUAGCUGGUCUGAGAGGAUGAACAGCCACACUGGAACUGAGACACGGUCCAGACUCCUACGGGAGGCAGCAGUGGGGAAUAUUGCACAAUGGGCGAAAGCCUGAUGCAGCCAUGCCGCGUGUAUGAAGACGGCCUUCGGGUUGUAAAGUACUUUCAGCGGGGAAGCGUUACCCGCAGAAGAAGCACCGGCUAACUCCGUGCCAGCAGCCGCGGUAAUAC